AUUGAACGCUGGCGGCAGGCCUAACACAUGCAAGUCGAACGGUAACAGGAAGCAGCUUGCUGCUUUGCUGACGAGUGGCGGACGGGUGAGUAAUGUCUGGGAAACUGCCUGAUGGAGGGGGAUAACUACUGGAAACGGUAGCUAAUACCGCAUAACGUCGCAAGACCAAAGAGGGGGACCUUAGGGCCUCUUGCCAUCGGAUGUGCCCAGAUGGGAUUAGCUAGUAGGUGGGGUAACGGCUCACCUAGGCGACGAUCCCUAGCUGGUCUGAGAGGAUGACCAGCCACACCGGAACUGAGACCAGGUCCAGACUUCUAAGGGAGGGAGGAGUGGGGAAUAUUGCACAAUGGGCGCAAGCCUGAUGCAGCCAUGCCGCGUGUAUGAAGAAGGCCUUCGGGUUGUAAAGUACUUUCAGCGGGGAGGAAGGGAGUAAAGUUAAUACCUUUGCUCAUUGACGUUACCCGCAGAAGAAGCACCGGCUAACUCCGUG
rnacentral:rRNA from 1 species